UGAACCCACGAGGCACUUGGUUCAUCAAAAACCUACAAUGGUAAACUUUUGUGCUGUGUUAGGGUGUUCUAACAAAGCUGAUGGGAAAGGUGAAAAGAAGUCUUUCUACAGAAUACCAGCUGUGAUUGAAACACAAGCAAACCAAGGAGCUUUCUGCCAGGAGACAGAGAGAGGAUUUAGCUGCUUUAUGCAGAGCGGAUCUGAAUACUUCAAGUCUAUUUUGUUACUGGUGUCUGCGCCGCAGGAGGAAUAGGCCACAAUUAUAAAUUAUAAAUAAAUCAUAAAAUGUUUCUAAGAA